rnacentral:rRNA from 1 species
GAUGAACGCUGGCGGCGUGCCUAAUACAUGCAAGUAGAACGCUGAAGGAAGGAGCUUGCUCUUUCCGGAUGAGUUGCGAACGGGCGAGUAACGCGUAGGUAACCUGCCUGGUAGCGGGGGAUAACUAUUGGAAACGAUAGCUAAUACCGCAUAACAGUAGAUGUUGCAUGAUAUCUACUUAAAAGGUGCAAUUGCACCACUACCAGAUGGACCUGCGUUGUAUUAGCUAGUUGGUGAGGUAACGGCUCACCAAGGCGACGAUACAUAGCCGACCUGAGAGGGUGAUCGGCCACACUGGGACUGAGACACGGCCCAGACUCCUACGGGAGGCAGCAGUAGGGAAUCUUCGGCAAUGGACGGAAGUCUGACCGAGCAACGCCGCGUGAGUGAAGAAGGUUUUCGGAUCGUAAAGCUCUGUUGUAAGAGAAGAACGAGUGUGAGAGUGGAAAGUUCACACUGUGACGGUAUCUUACCAGAAAGGGACGGCUAACUACGUG